rnacentral:rRNA from 1 species
GGGGAGGCAGCAGUGGGGAAUAUUGCACAAUGGGGGAAACCCUGAUGCAGCCAUGCCGCGUGUGUGAAGAAGCCUCGGGUUGUAAAGCACUUUCAGUAGGAGGAAGGUAGUGUAGUUAACACCUGCAUUAUUUGACGUUACCUACAGAAGAAGCACCGGCUAACUCCGUGCCAGCAGCCGCGGUAAUACGGAGGGUGCGAGCGUUAAUCGGAAUUACUGGGCGUAAAGCGCAUGCAGGCGGCCUGUUAAGUCAGAUGUGAAAGCCCGGGGCUUAACCUCGGAAUUGCAUUUGAAACUGGCAGGCUAGAGUCUUGUAGAGGGGGGUAGGAAUUUCAGGUGUAGCGGUGAAAUGCGUAGAGAUCUGAAGGAAUACCAGUGGCGAAGGCGGCCCCCUCGGACAAAGACUGACGCUCAGAUGCGAAAGCGUGGGGAGCAAACAGGAUUAGAUACCCUGGUAG